AGCACUGCAUGGUAUCUGCACUCAGUGGCGUGUCCUGCUGGGUGUUCAAAGGACAGUGCGACAUGAAUUCAGUGUCUGGCAUCGUUGGUUUUCUUGGCUUUGUGCAUGUGAAACCUGGUAUUUUUACUGAUACAGAU
ensembl:snoRNA